UCGAGAAUCUUUCACAAUGGGGGCAACCCUGAUGGAGCGACGCCGCGUGGAGGAUAAGGUCUUCGGAUUGUAAACUCCUGUCAUGCGCGAACAAAUACUUCACACUAACACGGUGAAGUCCUGAUAGUAGCGCAAGAGGAAGAGACGGCUAACUCUGUGCCAGCAGCCGCGGUAAUACAGAGGUCUCAAGCGUUGUUCGGAAUCACUGGGCGUAAAGGGUGCGCAGGUGGUCAUGUAAGUCAAAUGUGAAAGACUGGGGCUCAACCUCAGAUUUGCAUGUGAUACUGCGUGACUUGAGAACUGAAGAGGGAUCUUGAAUUCACGGUGUAGCAGUGAAAUGCGUAGAUAUCGUGAGGAACACCAAAGGCGAAAGCAGGAUCCUGGUCAGCUUCUGACACUCAUGCACGAAGGCUAGGGGAGCAAACGG
rnacentral:rRNA from 1 species